rnacentral:rRNA from 1 species
UACGUAGGGGGCUAGCGUUGUCCGGAAUCAUUGGGCGUAAAGAGCGUGUAGGCGGCCCGGUAAGUCCGCUGUGAAAGUCGGGGGCUCAACCCUCGAAUGCCGGUGGAAACUGUCGGGCUCGAGUGCGGAAGAGGCGAGUGGAAUUCCUGGUGUAGCGGUGAAAUGGCGCAGAUAGUCAGGAGGAACACCGAUUGCGAAGGCAGCUCGCUGGGACGUGACUGACGCUGAGACGCGAAAGCGUGGGGAGCAAACAGG